rnacentral:rRNA from 1 species
AUUGAACGCUGGCGGCAUGCCUUACACAUGCAAGUCGAACGGUAACAGGUCUUCGGAUGCUGACGAGUGGCGAACGGGUGAGUAAUACAUCGGAACGUGCCCGAUAGUGGGGGAUAACGAAGCGAAAGCUUUGCUAAUACCGCAUACGAUCCCAGGAUGAAAGCAGGGGACCGCAAGGCCUUGUGCUCCCGGAGCGGCCGAUGGCAGAUUAGGUAGUUGGUGGGAUAAAAGCUUACCAAGCCGACGAUCUGUAGCUGGUCUGAGAGGACGACCAGCCACACUGGGACUGAGACACGGCCCAGACUCCUACGGGAGGCAGCAGAGGGGAAUUUUGGACAAUGGGCGCAAGCCUGAUCCAGCCAUGCCGCGUGCAGGAUGAAGGCCUUCGGGUUGUAAACUGCUUUUGUACGGAACGAAAAGACUCCUUCUAAUAAAGGGGGUCCAUGACGGUACCGUAAGAAUAAGCACCGGCUAACCACGUGCCAGCCGCCGCAGUAAUAC